ensembl:antisense Gm20703 predicted gene 20703
AGCUCGGGAAGCCUGCAGGCUGUGAGCACGUUGAUCAAAGGUCCCUUUGCGGGCUCAAAUUAACAGGGAGCUGGCGAGCCCGCGCAGCACCUGCCUGGGAAGAGCAGCGCCACAGCAAACCGGCUCAUCUUGCCGGGAGUAUUUGGAAAUGAACCUUGGACUUUAAGAACGCUUGGAGUCAUUGAACCACACCCAACUCCUAUUCUGACAUUUCACUGCUAUCCAGGAUUUACAGAAAAUGUUAGAAAAACUCUGCAGCAAUGUUAUUUUGAAAUUUAUAAAGCCUUUACAAAAAUGUGAAGAAAGAUGUAUAUAUUUGUGGCAUCUUGAUCUCUACUAUAAAUUGCGAAAUGAUUGGAUUGAGCUUAAGGUAUUAAAGCUUUUA